AGGUGUCAAAAUAAUCAGACUAAAUCAUCAGUGAAUCUCUUUAAUCAAACAUCUAAACUUGAUACUGUUCAAAACCAGGUUAAAGUAAGCUGCAAGUUUACCAUUGCGCACAACAACAAGGCCUGACCAUUAUUUUCAUUUUCAUUUUUACUGUUUUCUUUUUUUUCUGUGCCCAUCCUGAUGAUCAUGUUUAAUGAUUGUGAUUUUAUUUUUACUCAGUCUGACAAAAAUUAAAUCAUAAUAAUCUUCAUCAUGAUUGAAAAUGGUUAAAACACGCAACAAGUGAACAUCAAUGUCUCAGUUGUAAGAUCCAGACGGUUAAAUCCUUUUCUUGGUGCGCUUCAAGACUUUCAAUAAACUCUAAGCUUAUUACAUUAUCGGUCAACAAAACAAAAUGAUAUUGACAAGCAGAUUAAACCAUUUCAUCAGACAUCAACUGGUCAUCAACUUCAACUCAACCAAAGAGCAAAAUUGACCAAAAAAGCCGCUUCUCAUCCUGAUUUUUAAUAAUAUGCCUUAUAAUUAGUGGUAAUGGUGAGGAAACAGCAAAAAUGUGUGUCCAUCAUUAGCAGCUCUCAAUAUGUGAUCCAAUGCUGAUACAGAUAACACAUACGACUGAAGGCCUCUUAACACUAACCAUGAAAUAUUAUCUUUUAAAUAACCCUGUUGCCAUGCUUAUUCAAUGAAAAAUCAAGUCUCCAAACAAAUAACAUAAAACCCAGGCAACACACACACACUCGCUUAAACACGUCAUCACGUUUAAACAAAAUCAUCAUCGUCUAAAGGCUAUUAAAAAAUAGACUUAAGGCAAGUUAACAAUUAAAAGUACACAACUACAGCUAAUCUAAAUGAACCUUGGCUAUUACAACUUCAUUUACAAGAUACAUAAUAAUGCAAUAAUUGCAAUUAAAACAAAAUCAAUUUAUAUUUAAAUUGUAAGCCAUCAUUAUCCUUAUUAACCAUCUCUCUCAUGAUAAUGUUACAUUGAAGUGAAUAGAAGUGAAUAGAGUUGAACUAAUCUUCAAGCUCCUCACAGUUUGUAUAAUAAACCAAAUAUUGUUAUUUCAUUGGAAAAGCCAGCAUUUUAAGUGUUACAGUUAUCAGAUAUUGUCAGUAAAUUAUUCAAUAGUCCCUCGACCCCUUUGAUUUUGCAUUAAUUUUACAUUUUUUGCUCAACGAAUAGCGCUUGAUAAGCUAUUUUCAGUGUGGAGACAAUAUCUGAUACUCUAGAUCAAACAGAUUACAGAUCAUUUACCAUUGAUUAACCCAAAUUUUGCUCGUGAUCAACCUAAACAAAAGACUUUCUCUGGAUUAAUUUUUGGAUUCUACCCGUUAAAGUAUUUCAAGGCAAUUGUUGAUCAUCAAGAAUGGACAGCCAGCUGAUUUGGGUAUCAAUCUAUAACAAAAUGUCUUCUCUCGUUGAAAAGGUAAAUAUUGCUAGAUCUGUCAUCUAUCAUCUAUCAUCAUCUUUACCAUCACCACCAUAACCAUUUUUCGGUUGUCUUACCCGAAUCAGGUUAUCUUUAAAAACAACUGGUUGACCUUUUCAAAAACCUUUUCGAGCCACUUUGAUGUGAAUGUGCAAAAAAUGUAACCAUUUACUUUUCAGCGAUUCAAGAUCUUUUUCAACUCUUUUUUUCAACCAAUUUUAUGGCCACUUUAAUUCACCACCAAAAGGAUGAAGGAGAGACGGAAAAUUAAAACUGAAAAAAAGAAGAUGAAUAACUAAAAUGAGCCAAAAUUGAAGCAAAAUCAAGGAAGAAAAGGAUGAAACCAAAGAAUAAUAAAGAUGAUAAUGAUGGCGAUGGAGAUGCAAAAAUCGGGCUCAACGUCCCUUCAGGAGUAGCAUUAAAGCUUGUAAAAGUACAUGAUGAUAAAAAAACUGAUGUCACCAGAAUCGUUGUAAAAAGAGGAUAAAACCUGCAAACCAGGCAAACUUCAUUAUUAUUCAGUCUUUUUUUUUCUUCAAAAAACUGUUCAACUUUUUCAACUUUUUAAAGUCGUUUUAACCUCAACUCUUGUCAUGAUCAUGAUGAAGAGCCUGAUUAAACAAGAAAGUCAAUCAGUUGGAAUGUUUUCUGUCAAACAAUUUCAUGUUCACUUUGAAAUAUAUUCAUUAAUAAUAUUCAACUGAUUAGUGUUAAGCCUGUAAACAGAAUAGGUAUGUUUAUAAAGUUAGCCAGUCACCAUCAAAGCGAAUGGCAUUAACCUAAUACUUGCGGGCAGUUGUACCAAUGAAUUCUCGAAUAAUUAAAACUCUAAAGCAAUACAAA